rnacentral:rRNA from 1 species
AACGAACGCUGGCGGCGUGCCUAACACAUGCAAGUCGUGCGAGAAAGUUCCUUCGGGAGCGAGUAAAGCGGCGCACGGGUGAGUAACACGUAGGUAACCUGCCCCCCAGUCUGGAACAACUAGAGGAAACUCUAGCUAAUGCCGGAUGAGACCACGAUCCCUUCGGGGGUUGCGGCCAAAGAUGGCCUCUACUUGUAAGCUAUCGCUGAGGGAUGGGCCUGCGGGCCAUUAGCUUGUUGGUGAGGUAACGGCUCACCAAGGCUGUGAUGGCUAGCUGGUCUGAGAGGAUGACCAGCCACACUGGGACUGAGACACGGCCCAGACUCCUACGGGAGCAGCAGUGGGAAUAUUGCGCAAUGGGCGUAAGCCUGACGCAGCGACGCCCGGCGU